rnacentral:ncRNA from 2 species
AACACGCUGGAAAGAGCGCUGGACCAAGGGUCAGCGCCGCCGACGGAGUAAGCCGCGAACUGAUGCGGUGAAUCUCUCAGGCGCCAGGACAGCGGGGGCUGC